UGGUAAUACAAGAAAAAUAUGAAUGUUGAGAUGAUCUUUACAACUUGUCCAGAAAUUAAUAGUCCGAAGAGUUCAUCGAAGAUAUUAUAAAAGCAAAACAGAACUCUAUAAUCAAUGAACAAUAAUUUUUCUUACAACCCAUUUACAUUCCUCUCCAAAAACCAUGUUUUCUAAUAUCUGAUACACAAAAUAGAUCAAUUUACAAGUAAAACAUCCACAUUAUUACUAACAUAUCAAAAUAUUCCAGUUCAACCAUCAAUGCAUUUAAAACCCCUGCAAAUCAACACCCAAAUCCCAAACAAAACAGCACAAAUAACCAAAUCCAAUGCCAAAAUCACCAAAACGUGCUUCUUCCAAAUCUGCUUGGCCUUGUGCUUGUUAUCACCCAAAUGAUAC
rnacentral:misc_RNA from 1 species